AUUGAACGCUGGCGGCAGGCCUAACACAUGCAAGUCGAGCGGCAGCACGGGUACUGUAUGAGGUGGCGAGCGGCGGACGGGUGAGUAAUGCCUAGGAAUGGGCAUGGUAGUGGGGGAUAACGGUAGGAAACGGACAAAAAUACCGCAUACGUCGUACGGGAGAAAGCAGGGGACGUUCGGGCCUUGUGAUAUCAGAUGAGCCUAGGUUGGAUUAGCUAGUUGGUGAGGUAAUGGCUCGACAAGGCGACGAUCCGUAAUGAUCGGAGAGGAUAUCAGUCACACCCGGCCACGACACGGUCCAGACUCGUCCAGAGGCAGCAGCGGGGAAUAUCAGCAAUGGCGAAAGCGGGAUCCAGCCAGACGCAGUGAGGGAAGAAGGUUGUCGGAGGCUAAAGCAUUGUAAAGCCGAUGAAGAGCGAUGAAAUAAUAGGUAUCGGCCUGACGGACCGAC
rnacentral:rRNA from 1 species